GACGAACGCUGGCGGCGCGCCUAACACAUGCAAGUCGAACGAGCGAGAGAGAGCUUGCUUUCUCAAGCGAGUGGCGAACGGGUGAGUAACGCGUGAGGAACCUGCCUCAAAGAGGGGGACAACAGUUGGAAACGACUGCUAAUACCGCAUAAGCCCACGGGUCGGCAUCGACCAGAGGGAAAGGAGCAAUCCGCUUUGAGAUGGCCUCGCGUCCGAUUAGCUAGUUGGUGAGGUAAUGGCCCACCAAGGCGACGAUCGGUAGCCGGACUGAGAGGUUGAACGGCCACAUUGGGACUGAGACACGGCCCAGACUCCUACGGGAGGCAGCAGUGGGGAAUAUUGCACAAUGGGGGGAAACCCUGAUGCAGCGACGCCGCGUGGAGGAAGAAGGUCUUCGGAUUGUAAACUCCUGUUGUUGAGGAAGAUAAUGACGGUACUCAACAAGGAAGUGACGGCUAACUACGUG
rnacentral:rRNA from 1 species